GGGGCUGUUUAAGGAUUCGACAAAAUUAUCAAAAAAUAAAGAGCAUGUCGAGGAACGGUUUGCCUCGAAAAAAACCGUAAAACAAUAUCUGCAAAAAAUCAACAAAACUACGCUUUAGCAGCUUAAAAAACUUAAUAAAGCCCUUUCUUCUGAUCCUUCUCUCUUAGGAAAAAAGAAACUUAGAAAGGUUAAUUUUAAAAGAGAAAACAUAAAACUUUGCUUGGAAAGUGAUAUGUCAUAAAAGUACAAGAUAUAUGUCUAAAAUAAGUUUUUACAGAUUAGACAAAGAAUUCAGUUAAGUAAAAACUAAGCAUGUAGAACUUUAUUUGUAGAAAUUUUGGACGCGGGUUCAAAUCCCGCCAGCUCCAA
rnacentral:tmRNA from 1 species